AUACGGAGGGUGCAAGCGUUACUCGGAAUCACUGGGCGUAAAGCGCGCGCAGGCGGCUAUUUAAGUUGGAUGUGAAAGCCUAUGGCUCAACCAUAGAACUGCAUCCAAAACUAUUUAGCUAGAGUGUGGGAGAGGAAGAUGGAAUUAGUUGUGUAGGGGUAAAAUCCGUAGAGAUAACUAGGAAUACCAAAAGCGAAGGCAAUCUUCUGGAACACUGCUGACGCUGAGGCGCGAAAGCGUGGGGAGCAAACAGGAUUAGAAACCCUAGUAGUCC
rnacentral:rRNA from 1 species